rnacentral:rRNA from 1 species
AAGGGCACCACAAGAACGCGUGGAGCAUGUGGCUUAAUUUGACUCAACGCGGGAAAUCUUACCGGGUCCGGACACACUGAGGAUUGACAGAUAUAUACCCGUGAGUACUUCGGUGCUCGCGGGUUGAAAGAUGCUAGUUCUUUCAUGAUUAUGUGAUAGGUGGUGCAUGGCCGUUCUUAGUUCGUGGAGUGAUCUGUCUGCUUAAUUGCGUAUCAAUAAUAGAGACCUAGUAUACGCGUAGACUCAUGCGGUAGUGACCCCCCUUCACAGGGCGCGUGUCGCACGUAUGUUAUACGCACAGGUCUCCGAUAGCAACGAACGUGACCGUACUCUAUUGUUGCAGCGACAAUACCUUUCAACGGGUAUUACCGCUGCUUAGCAAGAUUCGCCUUGCAUUAAACUAUAGAGACCGCUGUUUCUUCUUUAAACCAGAGGAAGGAUACGGCAAUAACAGGUCUGUGAUGCCCUCAGAUGUUCCGGGCUGCACACGUGCUACAAUGAUCAUUGCACUGUGCAUCUAACCCAAUGUGCGCGGACGCCGCCGUGCGUAUAUACUUUAUUGUGUAUGCGUAUCGUGCGUGCGACCGCGCCGAACCUGCUUCGAAAGUAAACAUUUCCAGCGGGUAAUCCAUUAGAAGUAAUGACUCGCAUAGACCAUGGCACACUAUAUGUACCCGCGGGUUCUACCCGGCUCGCCUUUGUGUGAGUGCAGUGCGUAGCUCGUUGUUUGGUACGUGCCACUCCGUAUUAAUUCAUACGUGGGGAUAGAUCAUUGUUUAAUUGUUGGUCUCGGUCUUAACUAGGAAUGCCUUGUACGGGUCUUUGGUUCAACAUACCACCCGGAAUACGUCCCUGCCCUUUGUACACACCGCCCGUCGCUCUUACCGAUGGAUUAUACUAUGAAUCUAUAGGACUGCCAAAGUUGCUCUUCGCGGGGCGCUUAGUGGAAAUAUAUAUGAAUAGUGUGAUCUAAAGGAAAGAGAAGUCGUAACAAGGCAUCGGUAGGUGAACCUGCAGAAGGAUCA